rnacentral:misc_RNA from 1 species
GAUGAAGAACGCAGCGAAAUGCGAUACGUAAUGUGAAUUGCAGAAUUCAGUGAAUCAUCGAGUCUUUGAACGCACAUUGCGCCCCCUGGUAUUCCGGGGGGCAUGCCUGUCCGAGCGUCAUUUCAACCCUCAAGCACUGCUUGGCGUUGGCGGAUUGCGUGCCCUCGCGGCGCUGCAACCGCCCAAAUACAGUGGCGGUCCCGCUGCGGCUCCCUUUGCGUAGUAACUCACCUCGCACUGGACCGGGCGGCGGCCUGCCGUAAAACCCCAACUCACGAAAUGUUGACCUCGGAUCAGGUAGGAAUACCCGCUGAACUUAAGCAUAUCAAUAAGCGGAGGA